AGUGUACGGGUCUGUGGUUGAAAGUCGAGGCCAGUCGCAGGCAAAACGAUCCACGUAAGCAAUGCAAAGUCGUUGUGAGCAUGGUGCGGCUUAGAAGUAAGUCCUGCCGAAAAAAAUAAUGUCGAGAGAGGUAGUAGUGGGGAGCCACGGGCUUAGGAGCGAACCCUCCAGCAGGCGAGUGUGGGGGCAAAGACCAGGUCAGCCGUACGAU
ncrna:unclassified sequences raiA RNA